GCAGUGGUGGUUCAGUGGCAGAACUCUUACUUUCCAUAUGGGAAACCUGGGUUCAAUUCCCGACCAAUGUA
rnacentral:tRNA from 1 species